rnacentral:rRNA from 1 species
UCACGGGAGACACACGGCGGGUGCUAACGUCCGUCGUGAAGAGGGAAACAACCCAGACCGCCAGCUAAGGUCCCAAAGUCAUGGUUAAGUGGGAAACGAUGUGGGAAGGCACAGACAGCCAGGAUGUUGGCUUAGAAGCAGCCAUCAUUUAAAGAAAGCGUAAUAGCUCACUGGUCGAGUCGGCCUGCGCGGAAGAUGUAACGGGGCUAAACCAUGCACCGAAGCUGCGGCAGCGACACUAUGUGUUGUUGGGUAGGGGAGCGUUCUGUAAGCCUGCGAAGGUGUGCUGUGAGGCAUGCUGGAGGUAUCAGAAGUGCGAAUGCUGACAUAAGUAACGAUAAAGCGGGUGAAAAGCCCGCUCGCCGGAAGACCAAGGGUUCCUGUCCAACGUUAAUCGGGGCAGGGUGAGUCGACCCCUAAGGCGAGGCCGAAAGGCGUAGUCGAUGGGAAACAGGUUAAUAUUCCUGUACUUGGUGUUACUGCGAAGGGGGGACGGAGAAGGCUAUGUUAGCCGGGCGACGGUUGUCCCGGUUUAAGCAUGUAGGCUGNUUGGUGCCUUCGGGAACUGUGAGACAGGUGCUGCAUGGCUGUCGUCAGCUCGUGUUGUGAAAUGUUGGGUUAAGUCCCGCAACGAGCGCAACCCUUAUCCUUUGUUGCCAGCGGUCCGGCCGGGAACUCAAAGGAGACUGCCAGUGAUAAACUGGAGGAAGGUGGGGAUGACGUCAAGUCAUCAUGGCCCUUACGACCAGGGCUACACACGUGCUACAAUGGCAUAUACAAAGAGAAGCGACCUCGCGAGAGCAAGCGGACCUCAUAAAGUAUGUCGUAGUCCGGAUUGGAGUCUGCAACUCGACUCCAUGAAGUCGGAAUCGCUAGUAAUCGUAGAUCAGAAUGCUACGGUGAAUACGUUCCCGGGCCUUGUACACACCGCCCGUCACACCAUGGGAGUGGGUUGCAAAAGAAGUAGGUAGCUUAACCUUCGGGAGGGCGCUUACCACUUUGUGAUUCAUGACUGGGGUGAAGUCGUAACAAGGUAACCGUAGGGGAACCUGCGGUUG